rnacentral:rRNA from 1 species
UACGUAGGGGGCAAGCGUUGUCCGGAUUCAUUGGGCGUAAAGAGCUCGUAGGCGGUUCAGUAAGUCGGGUGUGAAAGCUCCGAGCUCAACUCGGAGAGGCCACCCGAUACUGCUGUGACUUGAGUCCAGUAGAGGAGCGUGGAAUUCCUGGUGUAGCGGUGAAAUGCGCAGAUAUCAGGAGGAACACCAGCAGCGAAGGCGGCGCUCUGGGCUGGAACUGACACUGAGGGACGAAAGCUAGGGGAGCGAACAGG